UACGUAGGGUGCAAGCGUUAAUCGGAAUUACUGGGCGUAAAGCGUGCGCAGGCGGUUAUGUAAGACAGGUGUGAAAUCCCCGGGCUUAACCUGGGAACUGCAUUUGUGACUGCAUAGCUAGAGUACGGCAGAGGGGGAUGGAAUUCCGCGUGUAGCAGUGAAAUGCGUAGAUAUCUGGAGGAAUACCGGUGGCGAAGGCGGCAUCCUGGACCGACAUUGACGCUGAGGAGCGAAAGCUAGGGGAGCAAACGGG
rnacentral:rRNA from 1 species